rnacentral:rRNA from 1 species
ACUCAAAUGAAUUGACGGGGACCCGCACAAGCGGUGGAUUAUGUGGAUUAAUUCGAUGCAACGCGAAAAACCUUACCUACCCUUGACAUGUCCGAGAGGCUCCAGAGAUGGGGCUGUGCCCGAAAGGGAAUCGGAACACAGGUGCUGCAUGGCUGUCGUCAGCUCGUGUCGUGAGAUGUUGGGUUAAGUCCCGCAACGAGCGCAACCCUUGUCAUUAGUUGCUACCCGCAAGGGAGCACUCUAAUGAGACUGCCGGUGACAAACCGGAGGAAGGUGGGGAUGACGUCAAGUCCUCAUGGCCCUUAUGGGUAGGGCUUCACACGUAAUACAAUGGCGCGUACAGAGGGUUGCCAAGCCGCGAGGUGGAGCCAAUCCCUUAAAGCGCGUCGUAGUCCGGAUUGCAGUCUGCAACUCGACUGCAUGAAGUCGGAAUCGCUAGUAAUCGCGGAUCAGCAUGUCGCGGUGAAUACGUUCCCGGGUCUUGUACACACCGCCCGU